UUAGUUUCAAGUUAAUUUUUUUUUACCAUAGUUAAAUUUGGUGGCAUUGGUUUAGAAGGCUACCCAUAUUUUUCCCCAACCUGCAGCUUAUUAGGGAACAGCAAUACUGAGGUGCAUAACCCUGUUAGAUCUGAAAGCUAUAACAUUCUUGAAAAAGAAUUUGUAAAUCAAGUUACCCCAAUUGUGUCUUAUCAUGUGGGAAAUAAAGCAGAUUCCACUCAUCAUGUGGACAUUGAAGUUGAAUCAACUUCUCCUUCAAACAUAUCAAAAAACAAGGAAAAUGAAAAGCAAUCUUUCAGUCUAUAUAACAAACCUGAAUCACUUAACAAUGAAACAGAUAAUUCAUCUGUUUCAUCUGAUGAUGAAUCAACAAAUCAAGAAAAUGACAAUGACAAUGAAUGGGACAAUGUUGAAGACGAUGAGCAGAAUUGUGAUUUUUUUUGAAAAAGUCACAAAAAUAAGAGAUCGAAGCAUUUGUUCAAUAUCUGAUAAUCAGGUCAGAGAGUCCUUUAAAAAAUAGCACAAAAAAAGCAGCAUUGAAAAUCGACCUUUAGGGCGUCCAAAGCUGUUAAGACAGGAGGAUUUUCCUGUUGAGAUAAGCAACUUUCAAUAUCGUAUGCUAUAUCUAAUCACCGAUACUAGAAAUAAAAUAAAAGAAUUAAAUAAUAAAAUUAUGUUGAUGCAGAAGUACAUAUCUACUAUAAAUGCAGAUGAUGCUGAUUUAAUAAAUAAAGCAGAAACGGUAAUUGAGUUAAAGGAUCUUGAA